UGUGGUGGCGAUAGCAAGAAGGAUACACCUGUAACCAUGUCGAACACAGAAGUUAAGCUUCUUAGCGCCGAUUGUAGUGCCGGGUUUCUCGGUGUGAGAGUAGGACGUCGCCACGC
rnacentral:rRNA from 1 species